rnacentral:lncRNA from 1 species
GAUCCAGUGUGUAAUCGCUCAUGGAUUGCAAAGAGUGAACCUACAAGAUAUUUUUUUCUCCAGCUUCAGAGCACAAGUUUAUGGUCAAAAUGAAAGCCGGAUGAAGAUUAUUCUCCAGGGCUGAUGUUCUAUGAGGAAGCUUGAAGAGUUGAGAUCCAUAGGAGGAAAUGUAGAUGGUAUAAAGGAGAACUGAUUUGAAGAAAGAGCACAAAACCAAGAAGGAGGAACUCCUGUCCCACUUAAUAAUCUACUUAUGUGAUGAGUUUAUACCACCUGUGCUAUUGGAAGGACACUGACGAGGUCCCCAGAACAACACAUGCUGCACCAACACACAACCUUGUGUCUUAAAUGAGCUCAGGGAAACAAGCAACUUUCCAAAACAUUUAUAGGAAAUACAAGAUAUAACAAGUGCGUUUGUGUAUGUGUGUAUUUUAUGUGUGUUAUUUUGUCCUUGAGGGAUUAGGUAUGUGUUCAGUAUAUUGAUUCUGAACUUAGUUUUGGGGAUAGGAUGUAUCACCCAAAUUAUUUCCAGAUUUUCUGAUGAAGGUUUUUCAGUGGCUGCUUCAGUCAGCAGCAUGUGGACUCCAGACCAAAGUCCCACUAUGUUGACUCAGCUUCAGUUCCUGAAGCAAGACUCCUCAUUUCACUCUGAGGGAAGAAUUAGAAAUAAAGAAUAAGCCUUCUUUAAACUGUCAAG